UUUGCUAGGGGUGCAUUUUUGCUGAGAGACCUUUAAUGGUUAACCCUUUGAACCUGAUUUGGUUAAGGCCAACGUAGGGAAGCUAUUUUAU
rnacentral:ncRNA from 1 species